GCAUAUCAGUAAGCGGAGGAAAAGAAACUAACAAGGAUUCCCCAAGUAGCGGCGAGCGAACAGGGAAGAGCUCAUCACUAAAUCUCGUGCUCUGUCCGAAAGGGUACCGAGAACUGUAGUGUUUGGGAGGACCGCGAGCGUCUGUCCGACUGGUGCAAGUCUCCAUGAACGGGGCGAGCAACCCAUAGAGGGUGUCAGGCCCGUAGACACACUUCAGUCGAGACCGUGCUGUGGUUACUCUCCCUAGAGUCGGGUUGCUUGAGCGUGCAGCCCUAAGCGGGAGGUAAACUCCUUCUAAAGCUAAAUAUCGCCACGAGACCGAUAGCGAACAAGUACCGCGAGGGAAAGUUGAAAAGAACUUUGAAGAGAG
rnacentral:rRNA from 1 species